rnacentral:lncRNA from 1 species
CAGCCCUACAACCACCACCCCACACACAAGGUUGCUCCCUGCUCCCUCCUGUUCAUUUAUCUGUCCAGCUCAAUCCUACAUUCCUACCGCUACUUUUGCUGUUGAAAUCGAGAUGCUACCCUCAUCCUGCUGCUGUCUGUCAAUCGAAUCAAACUGCCCAGAGAAUGAAUGAGUUUGCAACCCUUCCUAAUUUUUUGAUCUUGUUCUAUUUUGAAAUGGACGCAGCACGUGCUCUGCUCUUGCUCACGUCUAGCACCGUCUCCGGCUCAGUGGUGCUUCUUGAGGCGACCGGCGUGACGGCGGCGACCACAAGCUCUCCGGUGAGUCGGAUCCAUCUUCUAGCCCUAGCUCCCUAUUUUCUGCUCCUAUAGCAUGCUCUGUUGGUUUAGAACACUAGCAGCAGUAGCCUACCGUGUAUACGUACUAAACAGCAGGAGCUCAAUCACCUUGUGUACACUAGCAGCUUGCUUACACACUUGUCACUUUUGCUUGUGGUAGCCAUUACGUAGCGAAUCAUGUCCGUGUCUACUAAUCAUCAGUUCAUAGUAUUUGGCUUUUGUGUGAUGGUCUGCGACUAUUUUAUGGUGACGUGGAUAUACUUUCUGAUUUAAAGUUACUAAUAUUUUUUGUUUUGAUUCUUUCUCUGGUGCGAGGAAAGCUGUGAGUAGACGUCAAUGAUGCCUACUUGCUUGGCUGCUACAGUGAUGCAUGCGCCGGUCAAGCAAGCACACAUGCAUAUACGUACAUGUUAAGAUAGUAGCAGAUGUGCCAUAAUUCCUGUGUAAGGAAAUGUAUUCCUGAGAUGAUUUUGUUAUGUUAUCUAAACCUGGGAGAUGUGUUAUGUGAUGUGAUAUGAUGGAUGAUCUGAAUUCGACAUUGAGUUUUCCUGAUUUGAAUAUGAAACAAUGUCGGAUGCGUGUGUGUAACUGGAUUAAAGAGGUCUUGUGCCCAAACAAUUGUGUCCAAACAUUUUUUUCAAAUCUGAGUUCUAAUACUGGACAACUAAUUAGGCUGAAAAAGGCCACGACCCAACAC